rnacentral:rRNA from 1 species
UGGGGAAUAUUGCACAAUGGGGGAAACCCUGAUGCAGCGACGCCGCGUGAACGAAGAAGGUAUUCGUAUCGUAAAGUUCUGUCCUAUGGGAAGAGAAUGACAGUACCAUAGAAGAAAGCUCCGGCUAAAUACGUGCCAGCAGCCGCGGUAAUACGUAUGGAGCGAGCGUUGUCCGGAAUUAUUGGGCGUAAAGGGUACGCAGGCGGUUUAAUAAGUCGAAUGUUAAAGAUCGGGGCUCAACCCCGCAAAGCAUUGGAAACUGAUAAACUUGAGUAGUGGAGAGGAAAGUGGAAUUCCUAGUGUAGUGGUGAAAUACGUAGAUAUUAGGAGGAAUACCAGUAGCGAAGGCGACUUUCUGGACACAAACUGACGCUGAGGUACGAAAGCGUGGGGAGCAAACAGG